UGCGCAGGUGGGCUUGUAAGUCAGUGGUGAAAUACUGCCGCUUAACGGUAGAACUGCCAUUGAUACUACAAGUCUUGAGUAUGGUUGAGGUAGGCGGAAUGUGUUGUGUAGCGGUGAAAUGCAUAGAUAUGACACAGAACUCCAAUUGCGAAGGCAGCUUACUAAGCCAUUACUGACGCUGAGGCACGAAAGCGUGGGGAGCGAACAGGAUUAGAUACCCUGGUAGUCC
rnacentral:rRNA from 1 species